rnacentral:rRNA from 1 species
UACGGAGGGGGCGAGCGUUAUUCGGAAUUAUUGGGCGUAAAGGGCGCGUAGGCGGCCCGGUAAGUCAAAGGUGAAAUCCCUCGGCUCAACUGAGGAACUGCCUUCGAUACUGUUUGGCUUGAGACCGGAAGAGGUUAGUGGAACUGCGAGUGUAGAGGUGAAAUUCGUAGAUAUUCGCAAGAACACCAGUGGCGAAGGCGGCUGACUGGUCCGGUUCUGACGCUGAGGCGCGAAAGCGUGGGGAGCAAACAGGG